rnacentral:lncRNA from 1 species
AUCUUAGAGGCCUUGAUGUGUUCACAAGAUUGGAUAAGAAACAAAUAUAAAGGUGUGUCUUUCUUUACAUACAUCAUAAAGUUUAUCAUUAUCUUACUGCAAUGUUUCAUAAGAUGUUCAUUACUACUUAUUUGAUUCUCAUAGAUGCUGACAAUGAAUAAGGACAAAGCUUUUGGAGUUGUCUUCAAGACAUUCAAGAGGGAAUGCAGGUGAAGUACAGGUACUUGCAAAUUUCAUAUACUAAUCUGCAUAUUUUUCUCAUGUUUAACUUUAGCUUGAGCGAAUUUUGAUCUUCCCUAGGACUUGGCACUUUGAUUUGGCAUUGGAAGAUUUGAAGAUGGUUGUUUGGAGGCUUGGAGAUGUGAAAGAUGCCAUGAUGAUUCCAACUUUAAAGUGAUUUGUGAACUAUAAGUUCUAUUUCAGAACUUAUAUAGCUGUUGAACCAUCUACUAUUGUUUUUUGUUGAAAUUUACUCAAGUUAUGCUGCUGAAAUGUGCUUGUUUUGCUGCUGAAAUGUUAUUCUUUGUCGCCACUAUGUUUGUUUAAAU